GGGGGAUCUUAGGACCUCUCGCUACAGGGGCGGCCGAUGGCAGAUUAGCUAGUUGGUGGGGUAAAGGCCUACCAAGGCGACGAUCUGUAGCUGGUCUGAGAGGACGACCAGCCACACUGGGACUGAGACACGGCCCAGACUCCUACGGGAGGCAGCAGUGGGGAAUUUUGGACAAUGGGCGCAAGCCUGAUCCAGCAAUGCCGCGUGUGUGAAGAAGGCCUUCGGGUUGUAAAGCACUUUUGUCCGGAAAGAAAACGUCGUGGUUAAUACCCGUGGCGGAUGACGGUACCGGAAGAAUAAGCACCGGCUAACUACGUGCCAGCAGCCGCGGUAAUACGUAGGGUGCAAGCGUUAAUCGGAAUUACUGGGCGUAAAGCGUGCGCAGGCGGUCCGCUAAGACAGAUGUGAAAUCCCCGGGCUUAACCUGGGAACUGCAUUUGUGACUGG
rnacentral:rRNA from 1 species